rnacentral:rRNA from 1 species
UACGUAGGCAGCAAGCGUUGUUCGGAGUUACUGGGCGUAAAGGGUGUGUAGGCGGCUUUUUAAGUUUGGUGUGAAAUCUCCCGGCUCAACCGGGAGGGUGCGCCGAAUACUGAGAGGCUAGAGUGCGGGAGAGGAAAGUGGAAUUCCUGGUGUAGCGGUGAAAUGCGUAGAUAUCAGGAGGAACACCGGUGGUGUAGACGGCUUUCUGGACCGUAACUGACGCUGAGACACGAAAGCGUGGGUAGCAAACAGG